CAAUUUUACAGUACACCUUCCCCAGGCUGUUGAUUGUGAUGGUCUGAUGGGGUUGCAAUUGAUGUGGUCUCUAUCGUCCUUUAAACCACAUACUUGUAUCAUGUAAUUAAUGCACGGCUUUUGUAGAGACUUAAAAGUGGGAAUAAUCACAAUGCAGGGGGAAGGUGCUGAUACCUCAGGUGUAUCCUGCACGAGUUUUACAGAGACUGGUUUAUCAUUGCACGCAUUAUUUCAUUACCUGCUCUUUUCACACAAUAUUACAUUUGCACACAGACUUGUGCAAUGCUGUCAUGGAUGGACAUAGAAUUCUAUUGUAUGAAAACGGAAAAUACACACAGACACACACAGACACACACACACACACAGAGAGAGAGAGAGAGAGAGAGAGAGAGAGAGAGAGAGAGAGAGAGAGAGAGAGGUAGCCACCGAUUAACUGACAUUACAAGAAAAAGCAAAGGCAGCAAUAAGCAACCUUCAAGCUAAUUCUUUGUUUUUCAAGACAAAAUUCUACUAGAGGUGGGUCAAAGGUGAGCAGAAUGGAUAUGGAAGAUGAAAUUGCCCCAUAACAAGCAAUGCCACUUCAGGUCGCCCGGAAGCAGAAACGCCCAGAUUCACCCGCUCCCUAACCCAGGUUCCCAUUGCCAUGAUAUCCUG
rnacentral:lncRNA from 1 species